rnacentral:lncRNA from 10 species
GCGGCGGCGGCGGCGGCACAGAGCCGGUGGUGGAGCCGCCGAGGAGGGUCACGCAGCACAAUGCCAGCUCUGCCCCUGGACCAACUCCAGAUCACCCACAAGGACCCGAAGACAGGAAAGCUGAGGACUUCACCAGCGCUGAUUUGUACCUGUAACUCCAUGAUACAAAUUUGAUUUAAAUGGGAGGGGGUCCUGCAGACCCACAUGAGAGGUGGCCUUGAAGAAUCCUUGUGGUACCCACAGGCUCUACAGUUUGGAAACUCGCCACCCCGAGCAGAAGGCAGACCGGUAUUUUGUGUUAUACAAACCGCCCCCUAAAGACAACAUUCCCGCCCUAGUGGAGGAGUACCUGGAACGCGCCACCUUCGUAGCCAAUGACCUCGACUGGCUCCUGGCCUUGCCUCACGAUAAAUUCUGGUGCCAGGUGAUCUUUGACGAGACUCUACAGAAGUGCCUGGACUCCUACCUGCGCUAUGUCCCCCGCAAAUUCGACGAGGGGGUGGCCUCAGCCCCUGAGGUUGUUGACAUGCAGAAGCGCCUCCAUCGAAGUGUUUUUCUCACCUUCCUCCGCAUGUCCACUCACAAGGAAUCCAAAGAUCACUUCAUUUCCCCUUCUGCGUUUGGAGAAAUCCUCUACAAUAACUUCCUCUUUGACAUUCCAAAGAUCCUGGACCUCUGCGUGCUCUUUGGAAAAGGCAACUCACCACU